rnacentral:pre_miRNA from 1 species
AGGAGGAACAACCCCAGUGGCGGCGGCAGCUCUGGAGCCCUGGAGUCAGCCCCCGCAGUAGCUCCGGAGCUCUCCGUCUGCAGGGCCUGGAGGCUCCGGGGCGGG